rnacentral:lncRNA from 1 species
AAAAAGCGGUCCAGUAGGCUUUCACACCAGGCUACACUCCACAUUACACGUCCUUCCACAUUAGACGACCCAAAAAAAAAAACGAGAAUAGGGCAUUCAUCUUUGAUUUUAGGAGGCAGCUGCCGCCACCUAGGAGAGGACUCACUCAUUCUUCAUUUUUAGAAGCACAUGGUUGCAUCACAAUGUAGGGAUUUUGGUUGAAGGGAGUGGUGUCUCGGCCUGGUUUGGAAACACACAGCACAUGCACAAGGAGGUCACGACCAGCAAGAAGAAGUAGCUGCAUUUCAUUUUCAAUUCUUUAAGAAGAAGUAGCUGCACGGUUAUAAUUCUAUUAUAUGAAGAAAUGUUGAUUUAGGUGCUUUCACAAGUGUACACGGCUGGUGAUUUAAUUAUUUGGAGAAACAUGUUUUGUUUUCUUUCUAGAAAAAGACGCUAGUUUUUGUUUUGCUAUAGGAAAAAGAAGUGCUGAUUAACAUUUUUAAGUGGUGUCACGAUAAAAUGUAGCACCAGGAGAUUUAAUUUUAUUUUUAUUUGGAAUUUGCAUUCUGCAUUGAAGUCACUCUCUUAGCUAUAUUAUGCCAUUCACAUUUCAUGCUUUUGAUUUAGAUUGUAGCGCAUUUUAUGUUUAUCAAUGUGCUCUUUUUUUUUUAUUCAAUGUGCAUUUAACUUUUAAGCUCGCAUUUGGAUAUCUAUCUAUUGUAUUAUUUGGCUUACUGUUUUUGUUCACUAUGCUGUCUGGUAUGUUUGGUAGUGAUAAUUUAGCUCUGAUGAUAGCUUAGGUUAGUUGGUUGGUCGUUAACAAAAUUACAAUGUUUCCUUGAGAUUUCUUGGACUGUUCUUGUGUUUAUUCUGCUUUGCCUGACUAACUAUGAAAUCUGAUUAUGUUCUUGCAAUGGGAAUACGCUUAGUUACCCAAUUGGUGAUUGUAUCUUCGCUUAGUUGAUUGAUCUGUAUAGAACACAUUAGAUGGAAUAGGUGUAUUGCGUUCGCUUAAUUCGUGAUUAUGAUAGCAUGGUUGACCUUCGCUUAGUCGGUUAGCUAUGUUGGAUUAAAAGCUAGAGCAGUUUAUUCAUGACACUCGUGCACUUUUAUUGCCAUGCUACUGCUCUGAU